AUUGCAGUAACAUUGAUGUAAUAUUACGACGAUAAUUGUGGAACGGUGUUGUUAACUGAAAACAAAUGUGGUUAUUACAAGGUGUGUCAUUUACAGCAGGCUUUUAAGACAAUUGAACAUAUUUUCUAGGAGUGUAUUCUACAUGGAUGAUAAAAGUGAACGUAUUUAUCAUUUCAAUACAAGCAGAGAGGACUAUUUAAAUCAAGAAAAAAUGUCUGAGAACUAUCGAUGACGGAAAGAUAUUUGUUUGAAGAGGAAGUUUGAACAAUAUUUACUGCUGAAGGUCAAGGUCAACGACAACCAAUAUGGCGGAUUCACCGCGGACUUUACCGGAAGUUGCCUACAAACCAGUGGUUAUUAAAUAUCCAAACUCAAAGUCAGACAAACAAAUCAAGCGCACGAAAUAUUCGACAGACGAAACGGACUCCGACAUGGAGAGGAACGCAGGUGACGUUUUAAAGCCAAAAGGUUCAACUCAUCACAGCACAACUUAUGUUCCAGAUACAAACUUGACUCUCGCCUGCCUUGUGUGUAUAUGUUUCAACAUGCCUUUAGGAGCGGUUGCAAUGUACCUGUCGCUCUCUGCUGCUCGUCUGUAUCGUGAUGGGGACCCGAGAAGGGGAGAAAGAAAAGCCAAAUGCUCUGUUAUUCUCAGUCUAUUUAGCAUUGUUUCAACUGUGCUCCUUGUGAUGUCAUACGUAUUGUGGGUCGUCAUAGAAACACAGAAUAAACGAGCACUUAGACAGCGAAAUAGGUAAUGCAGCAAGUGUGAAAAACCAUUAUAGUGAAGCCUUAGGACUAGUGCCAAACUCUGUAUUACUUGCCUAUUGGACAUUCGCAGUGUAUGCUAUAGAAUAUCAGCCAUUGGUACAUUUGGACAUAGUCACUUAAUAUAUAAUGUUUUCUUGUGCAUAUUUGAUUUGAAAAGAGCCAUUCGGAGCUCCUCGGUCAUUUUUAUCGAAAACAACCUCGGAUAUAUGCCUGUACAUCAGUAGAAUACAUUUUAUCUUUUUAAUUUUAUCAUUAAUUUAAUGUAGUGUUGUUGUUUUGUUUUAUUUAUCUUAGUUUAAAUUGAUUGCCAGUGAAGUGUAUUGUUGCAAACAUAAUUAAGAUGCCCAAGAGUUAAGUCAUUAACUUUAACUGCUAAAUUAAAUUACAAGGCGAUCUACUUGCAGCGGACUUAAACAUACCGAUUUCUGAGUAUGUAAACCGUCCAUAUACAUCCGAGGUUAUUUUCGAGAAAAUGGCCGAGGAAUUCCGAAUGGAAUAGAGCUGCACCUUAAAUUGAAAUCUCAUGGAAAAUGAAGAUGAUUGAAUCUCAAAAUACACUAUGUGAAACAGGUUAUUUCAUUAAUCCAUCAUCUUAUAAUGAUUUAGUUUUAAUCACAAAGAAACAGAGGAAUUAACGUGGCUUUCCGAAAGGUGCAAGGAAACAGUUUCUACAUCCCUCAUUUUGCACAAUGUUAAACCAGCAUUAUCAAAUACAGCUUUGAAUAUCAUAGUCAAAUUUAGAGUGUGUAUUGACACUUUGCAAUGGAUAUUUGAAGUAUUCCUGGUAUUAUUUGUGGUUCUGUGUGGAAUUGACACUCGGCCAAAGUAUUCUGUGUAUAACGUUUACGGAUUGUUAAAAUACCUGAAUUUAGUUUGUAGUUUUUAAAGGGCGCGAUGCAAACAUAUUCAGAAGGUAAUUCUACAUACUUAUCUCGAAACGAAGGCUUUAUUUUUGACCGGAUUGACUUCAUGAUACAAUUAUAUAUUUAAAAUAAUUGUUUUAUUUAUAAUAAUGCUGAAUUAUGAAUCUUCCUGAAAUAUAGUGUUGACAAGAUUAACCGAAGAAGCAAAUGCAAAUCAUGUGAUAAUGUAUGCAUUGUAUAGUCAUUUUGUCAAUACCAGACGGGCUGGGAAACACUACAUGCACGUGUACUUGUCUUGUAACGACAUCAACGUUUACUUGUCUUGUAGCCUCAUGCACGUGUACUUGUCUUGUUUCUACAUUCACGUGCACUGGUCUUGUAGCCACAUGCACGUGUACUGGUCUUGUAGCUACGUGCACGUGUACUGAUCUUGUAGCUACAUGCACGUGAACUUGUCAUGCAGCUACAUGCACGUGCGCUUGUCUUGUAGCUACACGCACGUGUACUGUUCUUGUAGCUACUUGCACGUGUACUGGUCUUGUAGCUACACGCACGUGUACUGGUCUUGUAGCUUCACGCACGUGUACUGGUCUUGUAGCUACACGCACGUGAACUGGUCUUGUAGCUACAUGCCCGCGUACUGGUCUUGUAGCUACGCGCACGUGGAGAAGGUGAAUUGGAUCUUAAAAUACAGUUCAAAACUAUAUUUGUAAGUCUAGACAUACUAAAUCCUAAAAUAGAUGUGUUCUUAUUUUACAUGUCAUCUUUAGUAUGUCCUUACAUAAUGAAAUACUUGAUAAUCUCUUUCACACGAGUUCAUACGGAAGCAUGUGUACAUUGUACAUGUUAAGAUCGUCUAACUGAUGUCGCCAAUAUAUUUACAGUUCAAAUGUUGGUGACAUCAGCUACACGAUCUAAACAUGUACAAGUAUACACAUAUUGCAGUCUAAACUACACCGACAAGCCAAGAAUCCCAAUGUGUACGAAUACCCUGUUUUAAUGCACAUUGAUGGCGUUACGGUUAGAAGUAGUUCACGUACACGUGCAAGUAGUGUUUUGCAACGUAUCUGGUAUGUUGGAUAACUUCACGUAUGACUAGUUUUAGAGUUAUUAUAGAAGUGCUCAAUGUUGACCUUAUUCCAAAUGAUGCAUGUAUAUUUUUGCUUGAUGACAGGGGCUGUAAAACGGUAAUAAAAUAAAAAAAAUGUAGUAAUAAUAUAGUACAAAUGUCGCGUGUAGAAAUAAUUAAUUUACUCUGCAUAUGUGUAUCUUAGUAGACAGGUUUGUCCUUAAAACAAAACGUUCGUAGAUUGCAACAUAUACUUAUUUAUAAAUAUACAUUGCCUGAGAUUUGUUUAUAACACUUUCGCGAUAUUUAGUACAACGAUUAAGCUUAAUAUUGGUAUUAAUUGAUAAUAGAAAUAAUCAUACUACUACUACAUAUGAUUUUUAAAAGUAUUAUUAUAACAGCAUCAUUUAUAUUAGAAGGUAACAAAUUAUGACAUUGUUACAACAUAAUAGGAUCAAUGCUGCCUUCUGUAAACAAUUUCUGAAGGAGCGUUGGUUUAAUUAAAAAUCUAAAUUAAAACAAUUAUCUAAUUAAAAAUCGUGUGAUAAUUAGAGCUUUCAUGGAACCAGCCAAUAUUUGAUUGUAAUUUUAAGUUGUUUGUACAAAAAUUCCAUGGAAAUCACAGGGUGUACUGAAAGUUAAAAAAAACAUACGCCAGAAAUGUAAUUGUUACGUAAUGUUGAACAACCUUCACAUACAUGUACAUCUCACUAUAUAAGGAUUAUCAAAAUGUUUAAUUAAAGGCCCAUUGUGUUAAAUGUGACGCCAUUUGUAUACUGAAGUAUAUGCUCAUUUUAUAUAAUGUCUUUCAUGUUGAUAUCAUGUUGGUUACUAACUGUACAGAUCAUAUUGACAUUUUAUACAUCAACUCUGUAACCGUAUUCAUACGUAACUGUUUGUAUAUCUCACGAAUCCUAAAUAUGCAGUAUGACUGUAUGUGAAGCACAAUACGAAUGUAAAAUCUGGCAAAUAUACGUGCUUUUAUCUAUGAUUAAUACAUAUGUUACUAUAUAUAGUAACACAUUUGUACAGGGAUUUCGCGAUUAGUUGCAUGACUCAGCGAUUAUCGGUUUUGCGGCCCGGGCCGAUUUUCGAUUAUUAUUUUGCGGCCAGUAGAACGUUCGCACGUGAAUUCAAUUUUCGCCUUGAAAUCAAUUUUGGCGACUGUAAAAUAAUGUCUUGACCGUAAAUAAAUCAAAAUGUAUUGAUCUGCUUGAACAUAUUUAUAAUUAAAUCCUAAAGGGACGCAAACGCGAACGCAUUUUAGGAAGAUAUGCUAGUGUUUGAUAACCAGUGUGGACCGUUAGGGCGGCGUUUUUUAUUCUGCGUUGACAUUUAAAAAAAAAACAAAGGAAGCGGCAAAAUUGAUUUUACUUGAAAAACAGCAAAUGUUCAUACAUGUUGACAUCAAUAAUUCGAGGUGUUGGUUUAUCUAAGUACAAACAGUCGUUCUACUUGCUAAAGGUUCAUGUUUAUUGAAUUGAAUUCAGUUAUUCAGGACAUAAACAGACAGAUGUCAGUGAUUCGUACAGAAAAAUUCGGAUAGACGUGUUGUGGAAUUUUCAAGGUGAUCAAUUGAAAUUGGAAUGGGAACAUAAAAAUGAUAACAAAAUGUUGUUUGCCUGUUUUGCACACUUUUAAAAAAUUAAAUAAUAACAGUAAAUUUAAUUUGAGAGUGAGUUAACUCAUCGACUACGUCUCGGGCCAUUACGAGUCACUCGGGCCAAUUAUCACUCAACGGCCCGGCUACGCCGUGUAUUAACCUCUAAAUAAUAGACAUUAACCAGACUAAGACCGCUUGAUAUAUAUACAGUUUUGUAUGUUCUUCCAUAACACCAUUCAUCUUGUGAUGCAUUGCCUAGCACAUUCACUGUUUUAUAUCAUUUUCACAUUGAUUUAUGGAUCGAAGGAUAAAAGCCAAAAUAGUUUUAGUGAUAUUAAGUACAAUAAAACACUUAGGGCUUUUUGCUUCUACCAAUCGAGAUGGUUGAAUUGCUUUUGUAUUAGUCGAGGGGUGCCAAAAAGACUGUUGUAGGUGUCGGAUUGACUUUGACGCAGUUACCGCUGUAUUGCAGUGACCUUCGAUAUCACGUGGCCAAAAAAGAACGUCCAUUUUGUAUUUUUAGAAUCUAUGCAGUUGUAUUUUUGUAUGUGAAAAUGUUGUUAUCUUUAUUGUAUAAUGCAUUAAAUGACAUAUCAAUUUCA